AUAGCAAAUAAUUUAAUUUAUAUAGUAUAAAAUUUAACUAGAAAUAAUGUAUGCAUUAAUUAUAACAAGUUUUUUGGAAAAAUUUACGCCAGACAAAAAAAGCAACUAAGCAAAGAGAUAGUGGGUCUAAAGCUGCGAAUUAAUUCUUAUAGAAUUUGUAAAGCUUGAGAAUGUAUGUAAUGCUGACAGCCAACCGAGGUUGGGUCUCGUGAAAUUAUGAUUUGUAAAUUUUCUUUUCAUUUUGGCAUUUGGCUAACUUUUGAGACACGCCUCGUGUGCGGCAUGUAUGGCUAUUGCCGCCACAGUUUGGCAGGCUUACAACUACAAUAAUGUCAAACGAAGUUGGCGACGGCAGCAAAAAGCAACACUAACAAAAAAAAAAACAGCAAAAAAAACAUACAACAACAAGCAAACGUGGGCGCAUUAAAACUGGAAGCGGCUGUGACUCCGACCCCAACCAGAUCCCAACCUUGCAGUAUUCUCUGGUGUUUUCUAUCUCUUUCUGUCGCUCUUGCUUUCUCUAGCUACCCGUGGUUUGUUUGAGUUUCAGUUCAAUUUGUUUCGAGUGUGCACUUGUCUGUGUGUGUUUGUGCGUGUGCUUGUGUUGGUGUUGCGCCUUAUCCGACUUUUCGCCUAGUUUGGCGGUGCCGCUGCCUUUGUAAUGCCGCCAAAUCGUCACCCCAAUUUGUUGUAAUAAACGCCAAUAUGUCAUGUGGUUUA